rnacentral:rRNA from 1 species
AAUCAAGCGUUUAAGGGCGUAUGGCGGAUGCCUAGGCACUGAAAGGCGAUGAAGGACGUGGUAUACUGCGAUAAGUUUCGGGGAGCUG